rnacentral:rRNA from 1 species
AUGGUUGUCGUCAGCUCGUGCCGUGAGGUGUCGGGUUAAGCCCCACUAACGAGCGCAACCCUACCUUUAGUUGCCAUCAGGUAAUGCUGGGGACUCUAAAGGAACUGCCUACGCAAGUAGUGAGGAAGGCGGGGAUGACGUCAAAUCAGCACGGCCCUUACGUCCAGGGCUACACACGUGCUACAAUGGCCGAUACAGAGGGCAGCUACCUGGUGACAGGAUGCAAAUCUCCAAAGUCGGUCUCAGUUCGGAUCGGAGUCUGCAACCCGACUCCGUGAAGUUGGAUUCGCUAGUAAUCGCGCAUCAGCCAUGGCGCGGUGAAUACGUUCCCGGGCCUU